rnacentral:rRNA from 1 species
ACGUUAGCGGCGGACGGGUGAGUAACACGUGGGUAACCUACCUAUAAGACUGGGAUAACUUCGGGAAACCGGAGCUAAUACCGGAUAACAUUUGGAACCGCAUGGUUCUAAAGUGAAAGAUGGUUUUGCUAUCACUUAUAGAUGGACCCGCGCCGUAUUAGCUAGUUGGUAAGGUAACGGCUUACCAAGGCGACGAUACGUAGCCGACCUGAGAGGGUGAUCGGCCACACUGGAACUGAGACACGGUCCAGACUCCUACGGGAGGCAGCAGUAGGGAAUCUUCCGCAAUGGGCGAAAGCCUGACGGAGCAACGCCGCGUGAGUGAUGAAGGGUUUCGGCUCGUAAAACUCUGUUAUUAGGGAAGAACAAACGUGUAAGUAACUGUGCACGUCUUGACGGUACCUAAUCAGAAAGCCACGGCUAACUACGUGCCAGCAGCCGCGGUAAUACGUAGGUGGCAAGCGUUAUCCGGAAUUAUUGGGCGUAAAGCGCGCGUAGGCGGUUUCUUAAGUCUGAUGUGAAAGCCCACGGCUCAACCGUGGAGGGUCAUUGGAAACUGGGAAACUUGAGUGCAGAAGAGGAAAGUGGAAUUCCAUGUGUAGCGGUGAAAUGCGCAGAGAUAUGGAGGAACACCAGUGGCGAAGGCGACUUUCUGGUCUGUAACUGACGCUGAUGUGCGAAAGCGUGGGGAUCAAACAGGAUUAGAUACCCUGGUAGUCCACGCCGUAAACGAUGAGUGCUAAGUGUUAGGGGGGUUUCCGGCCCCUUAGUGCUGCAGCUAACGCA